rnacentral:rRNA from 1 species
GAUGAACGCUGGCGGCGUGCCUAAUACAUGCAAGUCGAGCGAACGGACGAGAAGCUUGCUUCUCUGAUGUUAGCGGCGGACGGGUGAGUAACACGUGGAUAACCUACCUAUAAGACUGGGAUAACUUCGGGAAACCGGAGCUAAUACCGGAUAAUAUUUUGAACCGCAUGGUUCAAAAGUGAAAGACGGUCUUGCUGUCACUUAUAGAUGGAUCCGCGCUGCAUUAGCUAGUUGGUAAGGUAACGGCUUACCAAGGCGACGAUGCAUAGCCGACCUGAGAGGAUGAGCGGCCGCACUGGAACGGAGACACGGUCCAGACUCCUCAGGGAGGCAACAGUGGGGAAUAUUGGACAAUGGGCGCAAGCCUGAUCCAGCCAUACCGAGUGGGUGAAGAAGGCCUUCGGGUUGUAAAGCCCUUUUGUUGGGAAAGAAAAGCAGCAGGUUAAUACCCCGCUGUUCUGACGGUACCCAAAGAAUAAGCACCGGCUAACUUCGUG